rnacentral:misc_RNA from 1 species
UUUCCGUAGGUGAACCUGCGGAAGGAUCAUUAUUGAAUAAACCUGAUGUGGCUGUUAGCUGGCUUUUCGAAGCAUGUGCUCGUCCGUCAUCUUUAUCUCUCCACCUGUGCACAUUUUGUAGUCUUGGAUACCUCUCGAGGCAACUCGGAUUUUAGGGUCGCUGUGCUGUACAAGUCGGCUUUCCUUUCAUUUCCAAGACUAUGUUUUUAUAUACACCAAAGUAUGUUUAAAGAAUGUCAUCAAUAGGAACUUGUUUCCUAUAUAAUACAACUUUUAACAACGGAUCUCUUGGCUCUC